rnacentral:lncRNA from 1 species
GGCCUGAUAGUGACACUGUCAUGUGUUUUGUUGUGUGCUGUCUCAUUUUAGAAAAGGGGUUAUAUUGUAAAAUAUAAAUUCUGAAAUGUAGUAGUUUGAACUUUCUGUUUUUUAAAAUCAUUUAGAACUUAAUAGGGCUUAGGAGAUAUUAUAUAAAUCUAAGCAUAGAAUAUGGAUACCCAUACAGUCCUCUUGAGUCAUGUCUGUUUAACAUUUAAGAUAAAGUAAAUUUUAUAUUUU